ACAUGCAAGUCGAACGGUAACAGGAAGCAGCUUGCUGCUUUGCUGACGAGUGGCGGACGGGUGAGUAAUGUCUGGGAAACUGCCUGAUGGAGGGGGAUAACUACUGGAAACGGUAGCUAAUACCGCAUAACGUCGCAAGACCAAAGAGGGGGACCUUCGGGCCUCUUGCCAUCGGAUGUGCCCAGAUGGGAUUAGCUAGUAGGUGGGGUAACGGCUCACCUAGGCGACGAUCCCUAGCUGGUCUGAGAGGAUGACCAGCCACACUGGAACUGAGACACGGUCCAGACUCCUACGGGAGGCAGCAGUGGGGAAUAUUGCACAAUGGGCGCAAGCCUGAUGCAGCCAUGCCGCGUGUAUGAAGAAGGCCUUCGGGUUGUAAAGUACUUUCAGCGGGGAGGAAGGUGUUGAGGUUAAUAACCUUGUCAAUUGACGUUACCCGCAGAAGAAGCACCGGCUAACUCCGUGCCAGCAGCCGCGGUAAUACGGAGGGUGCAAGCGUUAAUCGGAAUUACUGGGCGUAAAGCGCACGCAGGCGGUCUGUCAAGUCGGAUGUGAAAUCCCCGGGCUCAACCUGGGAACUGCAUUCGAAACUGGCAGGCUAGAGUCUUGUAGAGGGGGGUAGAAUUCCAGGUGUAGCGGUGAAAUGCGUAGAGAUCUGGAGGAAUACCGGUGGCGAAGGCGGCCCCCUGGACAAAGACUGACGCUCAGGUGCGAAAG
rnacentral:rRNA from 1 species